CGGAAACAUGUCUAGCUUGCUAGAUGAUGUCGAGUGGCGGACGGGUGAGUAAUACUUAGGAAUAUGCCUUUGUGUGGGGGAUAACUAUUGGAAACGAUAGCUAAUACCGCAUAACGUCUUCGGACCAAAGGGGGCUUCGGCUCCCGCGCAAAGAGUAGCCUAAGCGAGAUUAGCUUGUUGGUGAGGUAAAGGCUCACCAAGGCGACGAUCUCUAGCUGUUCUGAGAGGAAGAUCAGCCACACUGGAACUGAGACACGGUCCAGACUCCUACGGGAGGCAGCAGUGGGGAAUAUUGCACAAUGGGGGAAACCCUGAUGCAGCCAUGCCGCGUGUGUGAAGAAGGCCUUCGGGUUGUAAAGCACUUUCAGUUGUGAGGAAAGGUUAACGGUUAAUACCCGUUAGCUGUGACGUUAGCAACAGAAGAAGGACCGGCUAACUCCGUGCCAGCAGCCGCGGUAAUACGGAGGGUCCGAGCGUUAAUCGGAAUUACUGGGCGUAAAGCGCACGCAGGCGGUUAUAUAAGCUAGAUGUGAAAGCCCCGGGCUCAACCUGGGAAUAGCAUUUAGAACUGUAUGACUAGAGUCUUGGAGAGGGGAGUGGAAUUCCAGGUGUAGCGA
rnacentral:rRNA from 1 species